GUUAAUAUAGUUUAAUAAAACAUUAGGUUGUGGACCUAAAGAUAGAAGUGAAACCCUUCUUAUAGACC
rnacentral:tRNA from 1 species